AAGAAAUAGAUUUAUUAGGAUAGGACGCUUAUGAAAGAUGCAAGUGGGCAGGCAGGGAGGCUUUUCCGGGCUACAGUUUCAUGAUCCAAGGGGAGUGGGGUCCAUCUGUACCUACUACCUCUUUAUAGAUUGCUCUCAAUAGACUGAUUGGUGGUUAUAUUAAUGUAAUACACAAAGGGUGAACAAUCAGUGUUCAACACAACCCAAUCACUCCAGAACUCAUUCUAAGGUACUGGAUACCUCCAGGAGCACUAUUCACAUAGUCCUGGUGUGAAUGGCACCUCCUAGGAGUACGCAGUACGCAAGCAGCGUAAUCCCUCACUGUGGUCCCGUAGCUCCAUCAUAACCAUACUUUCUUGCUCACAGUCUUUCUUGUGUUGCUUCUCCACCAAGGAAGGUGCUGUUGCCUCCUCUCUUCUGCUCUCAUUAGUGAGAGCCAUUCAUAUCCUCACUGAAGUUUUCCUGGGCUCUUCCAUCUCCCUUAAGGAGCUGCAUGUCUCUCCCAUGAGUGCUUACUUUACGCUCAGGUUACUUUGUGGGCACUUGGAACUACUGCUUAACAUCUGGUUACAUAAUGUUUUGUGUCUUACUAAACACAUUUAUUUACUCAACUACAUGGAAGUUCACUGAGCACAGAAAAUGGUUUUGAUUCUCUUUUCUGUCUGUACCACUCCUCCAUAUACACAGAUGCACACACAUUCUGCACCUCCUAUGGUGCUCCAAGUUCAACAGCUACUGUUUGCAUAGUUGAUGGACUAAUUGAUUAUCUAUUGAAUACAUAUUCACCUAAAUUUAAAGAGCCUCCAAGAUUUACUACACUCAGACAUGGAUGCACACACAAUGUGUGGGGCAGUAAGGCAACGGAGUAAGAAAGGGAAUUUUAAAAAAAGCUUUCCCUGGGCAAUUACCCUAAAUAUAAAAAUCACAAGAAAUGGAAAAUGUAUUAGGAUUCAAUCUAAAAAGUUUUAAAGGAAGAACUGGCUAACAACUGGAAAAGUAGGAAAAAGUAGUUUUAUACCUUAAGCAUUAAACUACCUUCUAGGGAUCUGAAAAUCAAAUGCUUCUCUCCAUCAAUUCUGUCAUUUCCCUUCAGAAGAUAUCAUAUAUCAUCCACAUUUCAAGUACAUCUUAAAAUGCACAUGGCCUGCACCCUCUAUUUUACUUCUUCCUUCUACUCUCUUUCUAACACACACACACCCCAUAUAUCCUGACCUCCCUCUCCCCCUCGAAAAACUCCUUUGACCAGGAGAUACUAGUUGAAGUCACAAAAAUAGUUCCAGAGAAAAUUUCGUUUGUUAACGUGGGCUCCCUCUGCUGGGUCUGCAGCAGUAACACAUACAACUCUGCAGAAGUGGAGGUUAUGGAACUCAUUCCCCACAGAAUUUCUCCUGUCUUAACUAAAUAUUAAACUCAAUCUCCAACAAAACAUAAUCAUUUGAAAAUAGAAAAGAUCUAGGACUUGGAUAAAUUAGCAACAAUCAAUGAAGACAGUGGCUUUUUUAAGUACUCCACAAAUCAGGAAUUUUGCCUCUGCUUGUUUUCAUUUGGGGUAGAAUGGUGGGAUUCAGCAGGGGAUCUUCAAGAUGGCAGAGAAAACGCUAUUAAACUGUACAGAAGAAAAUUAUCGCAAGAGAUAAGAUUCAGAGUACAUGGUAAAGAAAAAGCAGCAAGGAGAUCCUGCUGAAUAGCAUUGAGAACUAUGUCUAGAUACUCAUGUUGCAACAGAAGAAAGGGUGGGGGAAAAACUGUAAUUGCAAUGUAUACAUGUAAGGAUAACCUGACCCCUUUGCUGUACAGUGGGAAAAUAAAAAUAAAAAUAAAAAUAAAAAUAAAAACAAAUCUGAUGGUAUAAAGUAUUUUAAGCCCACACUCUCACACAUAACACAAAACAAACCUAAAAUCACAAAGUGCAUUCACGUUUAUUAAAGACAAUAGAAACGUAAGAUACAUCAAAAUGGAAAUGAUAGAUAUUGAUUCCUGUUAAAAGGAAGUAUGUCUCAUUUAAUUGAUUUGGUGCUUAUUAUGAAAGAGAAUCAUUAAAUUGACCUAAAACAAAUCUCAGACCAGGAAAAAGAACUCAAACAGAUCUAAGCCCACUGAAACUCCAGAAAAUACUGUCUGUGGUAUAUUUUUUCCCCUUAAAAUAGACCAGUAUCCUUCAAUAAUUAUCUUAUUUGAUCCCAGGGUGAUCUUGUAGAAUCAUUAAUACUCAGGGAAUUGGAUAUUCUGCAGCCUAGAAAUUCAAGGCCUGAGCUUUCCUAUCCAGGGUCCAGUAUAAAUAGUAGCAGAAUCUGAGGCCUUUACUAGCAGCUCUUCUAGUGUUGCCUGUCCACAUCCCUUCUCCACUGCCAAGCAAUUAGCUGCUUUAAAGGGUUAACCAAGACACCAGUCCAUGACUAGUUACAAAAAUGGAGAUGCCCAGUAUAAAAUAAAAAUGCAGGACCCCUCAUGCAAAAAGUAUUAAGAAUUUCACGACCGGGAUAGCGGAGCAUGAAAUCGACAGGAAAAAACCUUCAAAGCACAGCCGUUCUCUGUGCAAGGCCCUGUGGGACUGCAUUGGUCACAUGCCCAUGACACGGAUCCUGCUCUAGCCUGGAUUAGUUGAAGGUUAGCAAUACUAAUGUCUUCAUGGAUGCGGCUACUCUUGUCUUCCUAUCCUCAAAGAAUUUUCUUUACAAGAAAGACAUCUUUACAAAAACAAACACGGUUCUGUUUAGCUCACUAAAUGCAUACCAGAACUUGCUUUUUGUUAUUGUUAUUAUCAUUAUGAUUAUCAUUAUUAUUACUAUUAUUUUUUAUUUUUAGGGCCGCACCUGCAGCAUAUGGAGGUUCCCAGGCUAGGGGCUAAGCGGAGCUAGAGCUGCCAGCCUACACCAGAGCCACAGCAACGUCUGCGACCUAUACCACAGCUCAUGGCAAUACUGGAUCCUUAACCCAUUUAGCGAGGUCAGGGAUCAAACCCACCUCGUGGUUCCUAGUCAGAUUUGCUUCUGCUGCACCAAGACAGGAACUCCCAGAACUUGUUUUUUGUUCUGUCUAUCUAAGUUUGGUUUUGGAGACAGAGCUUCUGUUGAGAGAACCUAAGAUAACUUGUGCUGACUUUUUCUUCCCUUUCCUUUGAAGGGCUGUACAAUUGAAGUGGUUAAGAACACAAUCUUCAGGAGUUACCAUUGUAGCUCAGUGGAAAUGAAUCUGACUAGCAUUCAUGAGGACGCAAGUUCAAUCCCUGGCCUUGCUCAGUGGGUUAAGGAUCUGACAUUGCCGUGAGCUGUGGUGGAGACUGCAGAUGCAGCUCAGAUCCUAUGUUGCUGUGGCUGUGGCAUAGGCCCCAGCUACAGCUCCAACUGGACCCCUAGCCUGGGAAUGUCCGUGUGCCACAAAAAAAAAAAAAAAAAAAAAAAAAAAA
rnacentral:lncRNA from 1 species